AAUACAGAGGGUGCAAGCGUUAAUCGGAAUUACUGGGCGUAAAGCGCGCGUAGGCGGCUGUCUAAGUCGGGUGUGAAAGCCCCGGGCUCAACCUGGGAACUGCAUUCGAUACUGGACGGCUAGAGUAUGAGAGAGGGAGGUAGAAUUCCACGUGUAGCGGUGAAAUGCGUAGAUAUGUGGAGGAAUACCGGUGGCGAAGGCGGCCUCCUGGUUCAAUACUGACGCUGAGGUGCGAAAGCGUGGGGAGCAAACA
rnacentral:rRNA from 1 species